CCUACGGGAGGCAGCAGUGAGGAAUAUUGGUCAAUGGUCGGGAGACUGAACCAGCCAAGCCGCGUGAGGGAGGAAGGUACAGAGUAUCGUAAACCUCUUUUGUCAGGGAACAAAGACUGGGACGCGUCCCCGGAUGAGUGUACCUGAAGAACAAGCAUCGGCUAACUCCGUGCCAGCAGCCGCGGUAAUACGGAGGAUGCGAGCGUUAUCCGGAUUUAUGGGGUUUAAAGGGUGCGCAGGCGGGCCUUGAAGUCAGCGGUGAAAGCCCGGGGCUCAACCCCGGCCCGCCGUUGAAACUGGCAGUCUCGAGUUGGAGAGAAGUAUGCGGAAUGCGCGGUGUAGCGGUGAAAUGCAUAGAUAUCGCGCAGAACUCCGAUUGCGAAGGCAGCAUGCCGGCUCCACACUGACGCUGAGGCACGAAAGCGCGGGUAUCGAACAGGAUUAGAUACCCUUGUAGUC
rnacentral:rRNA from 1 species